rnacentral:rRNA from 1 species
GCUGACGCAGCCAACCCGCGUGUGUGAUGAAGGCCUUCGGGUUGUAAAGCACUGUCGUGAGGGAAGAAGUUCUGACGGUACCUCACAAGAAAGCACCGGCUAACCCCGUGCCAGCAGCCGCGGUAAUACGGGGGGGUGCAAGCGUUGCUCGGAAUCACUGGGCGUAAAGCGCGCGCAGGUGGUCCGGUAAGUCGGGUGUGAAAUCCCCGGGGCUCAACCUCGGAAGUGCACUCGAUACUGCUAGACUUGAGUACUGGAGAGGAGAGCGGAAUUCCCGGUGUAGAGGUGAAAUUCGUAGAUAAAUCGGGAGGAACACCAGUGGCGAAGGCGGCUCUCUGGACAGAUACUGACACUGAGGCGCGAAAAGCGUGGGAAGCAAACAGGAUUAGAUACCCUGGUAGUCCACGCUGUAAAACGAUGACGACUGGGUGUUUCGGGUAUUGACCCCCGAGGUGCCGAAGCCAACGCGUUAAGUCGUCCGCCUGGGAAGUACGGCCGCAAGGCUAAAACUCAAAGGAAUUGACGGGGG